GACGAACGCUGGCGGCGUGCUUAACACAUGCAAGUCGAACGGAAAGGCCCUGCUUUUGUGGGGUGCUCGAGUGGCGAACGGGUGAGUAACACGUGAGUAACCUGCCCUUGACUUUGGGAUAACUUCAGGAAACUGGGGCUAAUACCGGAUAGGAGCUCCUGCUGCAUGGUGGGGGUUGGAAAGUUUCGGCGGUUGGGGAUGGACUGGCGGCUUAUCAGCUUGUUGGUGGGGUAGUGGCUUACCAAGGCUUUGACGGGUAGCCGGCCUGAGAGGGUGAACGGGCACAUUGGGACUGAGAUACGGCCCAGACUCCUACGGGAGGCAGCAGGGGGGAAUAUGGCACAAUGGGCGGAAGCCUGAUGAAGCAACGCCGCGUGCGGGAUGACGGCCUUCGGGUUGUAAACCGCUUUCGCCUGUGACGAAGCGUGAGUGACGGUAAUGGGUAAAGAAGCACCGGCUAACUACGUG
rnacentral:rRNA from 1 species